GUGACUCAGUGGUAGAGUGCUUGCCUUGCAUGCAUGAGGCCCUGGGUUUGAUUCCCCAGC
rnacentral:tRNA from 1 species